GUCCAGGGAUGGGAAUCGAACCCAACAGUGUUAUGCUUACCUGGCAAUUGCCAUGUUCACUAGGCUACCCUGGA